rnacentral:lncRNA from 1 species
CAAUAAUAAAAUAUAAUAUACAGAUUUGUGAAAGUGGAUUGGAGCUCAAAGCGUGGUCCAGUUGAGUUGUCCGUGGACGGGGAGGAGCGGGGUGUAUUGGACCUUCUGUGUGGGUGGUGGAGGGCAUCAUAAGUUCUUUUGCACUGUGUGUUUCCGGGCUGUGCUGGGGGUGUCAGCUUGUCGAGGGUUGAUGACGUUCUGUCCCUGGCUGGCUCGCAGGAUCUCUGGUUUUUCCGCUGUGGGAGGGGUCCUAUGGUCGUGGAUGUUCUUUAGAAUUCGUGGAGGAGCCACCUCCAGAAAUUUUAGAGACCGAAUCAAAGAACAUAAACAAAAUAUUUCCAAGGUAAGCCCUGAGAGCCUACGAGAAGGAUACCGAGAUUUCUUGGCAAAACCCACG